rnacentral:rRNA from 1 species
UACCAGCACCCCGAGUGGUCGGGACGAUUAUUGGGCCUAAAGCAUCCGUAGCCGGCCUUACAAGUCCUCCGUUAAAUCCAGCUGCUUAACAGAUGGGCUGCGUAGGAUACUAUAAGACUAGGAGGCAGGAGAGGCAAGCGGUACUCAGUGGGUAUGGGUAAAAUCCGUUGAUCCAUUGAAGACCACCAGUGGCGAAGGCGGCUUGCCAGAAUGCGCUCGACGGUGAGGGAUGAAAGCUGGGGGAGCAAACCGG